GACAGAGGCCACGAACGUUGUUCGGAAUCACUGGGCAUAAAGCGCACGUAGGCGGCUAGGUCCGUCCAAUGUGAAAGCCCCCGGCUCAACCGGGGAAUUGCAUCGGAUACAGCCUGGCUUGAGGACGGUUGGGGUGAGUGGAACUCCUGGUGGAGCGGUGAAAUGCGUAGAUAUCAGGAGGAACACCGGUGGCGAAAGCGGCUCACUGGACCGUUACUGACGCUGAGGUGCGAAAGCUAGGGGAGCAAACGGGAUUAGAUACCCCCGUAGUCC
rnacentral:rRNA from 1 species